AACAACAAUUUAUUAGAAAAACAUGAUUGAAUAAAAACAAUGUGUCGAAUUAACCGCUCUACUCUGACUCGACGAUUGUUCUGUGGAAUUGUGGCAGUCGCCGUAAUUAUAUCAUGUGUCGCCCUUUUAAUAAUUUUGUGUUUUCGUAAAUGUCUUUAUAGAUUAGAUCUGUAUGAAGAAAUAUAUCUGGGAGUCGCCUGCUUUACACUUUUAGCUGCAAUAUGUCUUCUUUUCGGAUCGAUCUAUCAAAUCCGCAUCCUCGUGUGGAUCUGGAUCCUGAUAGUUGUCGCAGUCACAAUCACAGUCACUUCUGUAGAAAUAAUCAGGCUGUACAGGGACUGGAACUAUUUCAGUGACCUAUCAAGAACUUACAAAAUAAUAUUUCUAAUAAUUUUUGCAUUUUCAAUGUUGUGUUUGGUUUACGAGACUAUUAUGUAUGCCUUAAAUGUGAAAAAAAGUGAAGAGGAACAAAGUCGGACUGAUUGCGAUUUAAGACGUUGUUAACAGUUGAAUAUCCAUGUAUAGCAAUUUAUUUUGUAAAUCAUUCUUUGUAUUUUCCGAAAAAUAUUAAAACU